AACGAACGCUGGCGGCAUGCCUAACACAUGCAAGUCGAACGAGACCUUCGGGUCUAGUGGCGCACGGGUGCGUAACGCGUGGGAACCUGCCCUUAGGUUCGGAAGAACUCCCCGAAAGGGGUGCUAAUACCGGAUAAUGUCUUCGGACCAAAGAUUUAUCGCCUUUGGAUGGGCCCGCGUUGGAUUAGCUAGUUGGUAGGGUAAAAGCCUACCAAGGCGACGAUCCAUAGCUGGUCUGAGAGGAUGAUCAGCCACACUGGGACUGAGACACGGCCCAGACUCCUACGGGAGGCAGCAGUGGGGAAUAUUGGACAAUGGGCGAAAGCCUGAUCCAGCCAUGCCGCGUGAGUGAUGAAGGCCUUAGGGUUGUAAAGCUCUUUUACCCGGGAUGAUAAUGACAGUACCGGGAGAAUAAGCUCCGGCUAACUCCGUG
rnacentral:rRNA from 1 species